GGCAGACCGGGAGGUGGUGGGAAUAUGGUGUUGGUGAACAACCUGCCACUACCUGGCAGACUGGGAGGUGGUGGGAAUAUGGUGUUGGUGAACAACCUGCCACUACCUGGCAGACUGGGAGGUGGUGGGAAUAUGGUGUUGGUGAACAACCUGCCACUACCUGGCAGACUGGGAGGUGGUGGGAAUAUGGUGUUGGUGAACAACCUGCCACUACCUGGCAGACUGGGAGGUGGUGGGAAUAUGGUGUUGGUGAACAACCUGCCACUACCUGGCAGACUGGGAGGUGGUGGGAAUAUGGUGUUGGUGAACAACCUGCCACUACCUGGCAGACUGGGAGGUGGUGGGAAUAUGGUGUUGGUGAACAAC